UCAUCAUGCCCUUUAUGACUUGGGCUACACACGUGCUACAAUGGCAGAUACAGAGGGCAGCGAAAGAGUGAUCUGAAGCGAAACUCACAAAGUCUGUCCCAGUUCGGAUUGUACUCUGCAACUCGAGUACAUGAAGUUGGAGUUGCUAGUAAUCGCGAAUCAGAAUGUCGCGGUGAAUGCGUUCCCGGGUCUUGUACACACCGCCCGUCACACCAUGGGAGUUGGCAAUACCCGAAGCCUGUGAGCGAACCAUUAGGACGCAGCAGUCGAAGGUAGGGUCAGUAACUGGGGUGAAGUCGUAACAAGGUAGCCGUAUCGGAA
rnacentral:rRNA from 1 species